GACGAACGCUGGCGGCGUGCCUAAUACAUGCAAGUAGAACGCACAGUUUAUACCGUAGCUUGCUACACCAUAGACUGUGAGUUGCGAACGGGUGAGUAACGCGUAGGUAACCUGCCUGGUAGCGGGGGAUAACUAUUGGAAACGAUAGCUAAUACCGCAUAAUAUUAAUUAUUGCAUGAUAAUUAAUUGAAAGGUGCAAUUGCACCACUACCAGAUGGACCUGCGUUGUAUUAGCUAGUAGGUGAGGUAACGGCUCACCUAGGCGACGAUACAUAGCCGACCUGAGAGGGUGAACGGCCACACUGGGACUGAGACACGGCCCAGACUCCUGCGGGAGGCAGCAGGAGGGAAUCUUCGGCAAUGGACGAAAGUCUGACCGAGCAACGCCGGGUGAGUGAAGAAGGGUUUCGGAUCGUAAAGCUCUGUUGUAAGGGAAGAACGGGUGUGAGAGUGGAAAGUUCACACUGUGACGGUAUCUUACCAGAAAGGGACGGCUAACUACGUG
rnacentral:rRNA from 1 species